CAGAAACACAUAAAAGUGAAGAGAGAGGGAGAGAGAUGAGGUUUUUGUGGUUGGUCUUGCACUUAUGCUGCUUAAUGCUUCUCUUUUCUUCUUCUUCUCAGGUUACGAUGAAAUAUUAUCCAACUCCUCCAAGGAUUAAUACCGACAGAGGCCGCGAUAGAGAUCGGGCAAGACCUGCACCCCCGCCUCCGAGAGGAAGACCACCCGGGCGUCCCUGAGCUAUAGACUAGGUUAUAUAUAUGUAAGCUCUUGGAUGAUCACGUGAUUAUUGUAGGUCAUGAAUUCUUAAAAUUCACCUAGAUAAUUGCAUUUCCCGUUCAAAAACUUGUUAUUUAUUUAAAAGAAAAGAAAACUUGUUAAUUAAGUGGAUCAUCCACAAGUUCUUCCUGUUUAAUUACUUCGGUAAUUAGGAAACUCUCCAUCUUUGUUUCUUUAAUUUUCGUUACUUCCGAUGUAUAAUGUAAACAUGUGUUUUUUCAAGGUUGUUCUUCCUGUUUGAUUACUUCGGUAAUUAGGAAACUCUAUCUUUGUUUCUUUAGUUUUCGUUACUUUGGAUGUAUAAUGUAAUCAUAUGUUUUUUCAUGUAUUAAUUGGAAGGCACAGGGAAGAAUGUCGACUAUUUAGAGUA